GCCUAACACAUGCAAGUCGCGCGGGCAGUAGCAAUACUGUUAGCGGCGGACGGGUGAGGAACACAUAGGAAUCUGCCUCAGAGCGGGGGAUAGCCCAGGGAAACUUGGAGCAAUACCGCAUGAUGUCGCAAGACCAAAGCUGGGGACCGCAAGGCCUAGCACUCUGAGAGGAGCCUAUGUCUGAUUAGCUAGUUGGUAGGGUAAAGGCAUACCAAGGCGACGAUCAGUAACUGGUCUGAGAGGACGAUCAGUCACACCGGAACUGAGACACGGUCCGGACUCCUACGGGAGGCAGCAGUGGGGAAUAUUGGACAAUGGGCGCAAGCCUGAUCCAGCAAUGCCGCGUGUGUGAAGAAGGCCUUCGGGUUGUAAAGCACUUUAAGCAGGGAAGAAAAAACUCGGUCUAAUACAUCGAGUCUUGACGGUACCUGAAGAAUAAGCACCGGCUAACUCUGUGCCAGCAGCCGCGGUAAUACAGAGGGUGCUAGCGUUAAUCGGAUUUACUGGGCGUAAAGCGUGUGUAGGUGGUUAUUCAAGUCAGUUGUGAAAUCCCUGGGCUUAACCUGGGAACUGCUUCUGAGACUGAAUGACUAGAGUACGGUAGAGGGUGGUGGAAUUUCCGGUGUAGCGGUGAAAUGCGUAGAUAUCGGAAGGAACAUCAAUGGCGAAGGCAGCCACCUGGGCCUGUACUGACACUGAGACACGAAAGCGUGGGGA
rnacentral:rRNA from 1 species